CCAGAAACAGAAACUCUUGCUUCUUACCUGCAUUAGAGCCCUGUCUGGUUCUUUUUAUUUUCUACUCAGAAGGCCUUACCUCUGAAGAAGCUACUGGGUCCUGCUUGGAGCUGGCUACUACCACCCAAAGUCUGGAGGACCAAUGGCUCUUGCUAUCUGGCCUGAUACUAGCCUAACAACAUUAGAACUGUGUGUCAGGUUCCUGCCUCUCUCCCAGACAGAGAACCCUUUUUUAUUUAACUGCCGGCAGCAACAACUGAAGACUGAAGACCAACAAUCUUUCCACAGCUAGCCCUAUAAGCAAGCCAAGCUCAGCCUCCAUCACUGUCUGUCAAGUCCUGUUUAUACCUCUCUAAACAUCAAGUGUCCUCCUUGGGUCUUGCUUCAAGCACAUGAGUCUGUCUUAGCUGACAUCAUUCUACCAACCAGUUCAAGUCCUUGAAAGCAGCAAGAAAUGGCAUCACGCCACCAGAAGUUUUCUGGUGCAUUUCUCUCUGUGGAGUCCUGAAAAAUAGAGCUCGACUAUGCAGUGCAAAGCGUA